CGGAACACUACCACGGAGCGAUGAGGAAGACCCGGGCCGAUCCAGAGGACCAGCCCUCCCCUUUCCCUCCUCCUCUUCCUCCUCCUCUUCCUCCCAGUGCAGAUGAAUGUUAGCGGUGCGUUGGUCCUGAUGGCGUUCCAGUGCGUAUCACAGACUUGUUUACGGAGGUACAACGGCACUGGGAUCAGAGCGGAGCGUGCCAUAUCAAAGGAUGCAAAGCCCUUUUUCUUUCCCCUUCUCUGCGUAGCCUUGGGAAAAAGACUUCUAACACACACGCUCGACCACGCUUUCGGAUAAACUCCACUCCAGGAUCAGAGCGGGCCGAGCCGACUGCGCGUGUCUCUGAACCCAAAAGCCCCGCCAAAUGACCCACCAAGUAAAAUAUUUACAGACGGUAUUUAUAGGACUUAUAUCCGACAUGACCCGCGAUGCCACGAGCGUGGCUCCGCAGCCCCGGAGUUCAGGCCUUGUUAGCGCUAGUCAUGGUGUCUGUCCUCCUUUCUGCUCUACUGAAUCAUCUGCCUCUGAUUACUUUCUCCUUGUUUACCCUCCGACGGAGACACAGUGACACGGAAGGGGCCGGCCGUUUAGCAGACGCUCCUCUUCAUUCAUCCUGCUAGUGUACGGGGCCUCUCGGUCGACGCUGACCUUUUGAUAGGAAGUGAAGGCCGAUGAAGAGGAGAAGAAUAUCAGGCGUUCAACAACCCUUUAUUACUCAGACCUUCCACCGGGACCUCCUCUUCCUCCUCCUCCUCCUCUUCCUCCACCUCAGAGUGAUCCUCAUGUCCUUCCACUCAUCAGUCUUUGUUUACGUUGAGGGCGAUACUUGAAACGCACCGAGUGUGUACAACGCGCUCCGCAACACCGGAGCCCGCCUCCCACGAGGAUGCAGAGCCGCGAUAGGCCGGAUCAAAGCCGGGGGCCCCGAGAGCCCGUAUAGGGCCGGUCCUCGGGAGAGAGGACACUUGUAGUUCGUACACACAGAGUGUAGGUUGUUUGUCUCUUGUUUAUUUUUUUGUAUCUGCAUUUGAGUGUCAUCACAAAAAGAGUUCUUCACUCGUGGUCGCCUCCUGUCCGCUUCCUCUGACAGGUUGAACCAAAUUGUUAUUUCUGCAUCGGUCUCCACGUCCAAUGGUGCAUUUAUAUUUUUUCUGCCUUUCUUUUGAAAAAGUCGUGUCUCCCCCCCCUUGCUGCUGUAUUUAUUGAGUGCCAUAUCCAAACGUAAAAAAAUAUUAUCAUUAGGAUUGAGCGUUGGCGCUGGAGUUUCUUUCUCCAGUCAAUUCCCCGGCUUUUUUGACGUUUGCACGGUUCGUCUGUGAUUCAUUCGCUUCAGGACAUGUUAUGUGUUGUCUUUCCUUUUUUUUUAUCUACAUAAAGGUCACUUUGAGCAUACAAUUGGCGUGUUUCCCAACACAAAAGCGGGAGCGCCACUGUCUGUCUAUCUUCUACCAUGUCAGUAUUAAAGGGAUCGUUCUCCCUUAAGGACCUCCUUUCAUGUCCAUAAAGAAGUGAAGUCAAAAAAAAGAGUGUAUUUCCCGUAGGCGUGAAGCCCGGCAGCUAGAGCCCUUCACGCCGUUCCAUGUGUGUUUUGAUGAUGUGAUCAUUUAUAUUUAUGUGUUUGUGUGCAAUAAUCCGUCGAUUCAAGUCUCUUAAUCCCUUUUUUUAAGACGAUAUAGCGUUGUAAAAUAUUGUACAUACAAAACACUCCUAUUUUGCAAGCAAAUGGUUCACUUUGUACUGUUG
ensembl:lncRNA